rnacentral:lncRNA from 1 species
GGAUUUUGAUCACUUAACAGGUACGUACUAGUUGUCAAUGUUCUGGGACUGGUGUACACCAAAUUGCAGUUACCAUCCUCAAUCCGCCUUGUAAUCUCGGGAAAUCCUCUGUGGAAGAGUCCUGGUUUCCUCAUGUAUGAUUUUCUCGGUGACAAGGUUAAGAAUCUUUCCUCUUAUAACUUCGCAUUUUCAAACACACCUUCUCUGCACCAUUGACGUUAUCUUGUAAUUAAGUCAAACAUGAAGAAUAUAUAAGUGAACAGUAGGAAAGAAAGUACAUGUAUGACGGAUAAUAUUUAGAAAUAUGAAAUGUUAAAUUGUUUUUGAUUUGGUCAAUUUCAUGAAUCGAACAGAUCCUUUUAUCACUAUUAGCAACUGGGGUAGGUGCGGCAUUUGGUGCUACACUGGAUCUCAAGAAAAACCUGGAUGACUUGGAUGAUAUCCUUCAAGAAAACUAUAACAAAACGGCCCUUUCCCUAAUUCGAGUAAAACUCGAUGAUUUUUUUAGCAAGGCCUAUGUCUCAGCAGGAUUCCUUCUAAUUGCUUUGCUCACCUCAGUAAUUUCGUCUGUAAUUUCAUCUUUGGAUCUCACCAAGAAGGCCUACUAAUAAACAAUAAGAAAUCUUUUUAAUGAUGUAUAUGAUGUUAUACAAGAAGAGUGAAUGCAUUUCUUCUCAUUUAUCGUGAUGAUUUUUUGGAAGGUCCUGUGGUUUCUACCAUUCUUUCUAUAGAUAUAUAAAUUUUGAAAGAAGUUGAAAGGGGUAAUUGCUUUCCAGUUACCAAAUCUUCUGUAUUUUCUUCAACAAUGCUAUAGUGACAGAAUUUUUUUGACAUAAUGGGUGAUCGACACUCACAUUGGCGGGGGGCCCAUUUCUUUUUUGGACUUUUUUAUUCACAUGAGACCCACGUGCUGUGAGAGGAUGUCAACCAUUAUGUUAAAAAAAAUUCAGGUGAAGUAGUUUAAUUCUAUUUUCUUUGCGUUGAGCAUUGAGUUGAGAAUUAUAAACCUUAAUUCUAACCCACCAAGAGCAAUCAAUUUAAAGAAAGAAAGUAAAUAAUCAAGAAUAGGUAAGAUUUAUAGAUAUUCGUUUCAAUGUGAGACCACGUUGUCUCUCGCAACAGCAGUAAUUCACUAUGAUGAAAAAGGUUUACCAAAGAAAAUAUCAAUCACAUCUCUUCUAACCUCUAUUUCUCUCUAUUCGAUGAUAAUACAUAAAGACUAGAGAUUGCUCCCUAUUUAUAAGAUAAAUUAGGGUAAAACCAAAAUUUACAAGGACUCUUAUUCCUUCAUAUAAUUUUACAAAAAUAUAAAUUCCUAAUUAGUCCUAAUUUAAAAUUCUUGUCGAGGGUUGUUUAACCCCUCCAACCCCCACAGCAACCUCUCUGCUGAGGUGUAUCCAUGACUAACUCUACCAAGUGGCAAUAAUUCGGGUUAAACAACAAUUAGGCUACAAAAAUUAACAAUCUAUUAUUUGGAGACUAAUUCACCAUCAAUAAUUCUUCUGCAACGGCAACAACUCCUCAUUCCCCAAAAUAAAAGUUCAACUCAAUCAAAAUAGUCUUUGUCAACAUUUCAGCUAGAUUCUGACUCUCUUGAAUCUUCUCUAAUGUUAAGAUUCCAUCCUUCAAAGCCGAUGCUUUGUCCUUGCAUGAUAAAUAGGAAUCUUAGCUAAGUCAAUAGCGCUUUGAUUGUCACCAUGCAACAUACUAUUCCUAUACUUGUUACCCAAUCCAAAAAAGACUACAGAUCUAUCAUCGCUUUGCUAGCUUUAGAUACAGUAACAUACUCAUUCUUAGUAGUGGAAAGAGCAACUAUCUUCUGCAACUUAAAUACCCAACUAAUUGUCGUACUAUCCAAAGUGUGUGUGUGUGUAUUUCCUAACAUGUCAACGUCUAUAUAUUCCUGUAAUCCCAAACCUGAUCUCUAAAAUAUGAAGCUGACCCUAAAGUACCUGUCAAGUGUUUGAAAUUCUACUUUACUACCCUCAGCGCUGUUUGCCUAGAUCGCUCAAAUAUCUACUCACCACGGCAUGUGCUGCGUCCGAUCUUGUACACACUGUGGUAUACAUAAGGAUGCCAAUAACAGAGACAUAAGGCUCCUUGACCAUAAGGCUCACUCGUCCUCUACAAAGAGUGACUGCUUAUUUGAUAGACUGAAGUAACUAGCCAAAAUUGAGUCCGAAUAUUAUCCCACAUAGAUUGAUUUAGUUCAAUGUUAUUUAUCCAGACCUUAACCAAAACUAAAUUUUAACAAGUGAUUCAAUAACCUAAUUAGUCUCUAACUUAAACUAAUUAUACAUGCAAUGAACAAAAUGCAAAUUGAUGUUUAAAUUAACUAAAAUGCUAUUGAGUGUUGAGAACGCAAUUUAAUGUAUUCAGUGAUUGUAUGACGCAUUAGGAUCACGAAUUCUAAAGUAGUAUUCAAUUUAACCCUAAUUUCACAAAUUGACAACACGAUGAAAUUUUGAAGAAUCAAUGCUCCUAAAUCUAUCCAGCACACUCUCUCAAGCAGCGUUGAACCUAUUCCCCUUCUCUUGAAUACAAAUAUAAGUCACCCAAACUCACACAAUUACGGGUCCUUAAUUGCACAAGAAAUCAAAUGCAUAUAAAUCAUUCAAAAUAAUCAAACGUGUUUUAAUGUCAAAAAUAUGAAACAAGGAAAUAAGAAUCACAUUACAAUGUUCAUCGAUCCCCUAGCACAUAAAAAUCUAGCUUAACAUGAUGGGAAGAAUAAAACAAACUAAAUCACAAAGAAAAGACAUCAUGACUUUAAAUCUUGAAUUGAAUCCUUGCGUCUUGAUGUCAAUCUUCUCGUUCUUGCCUUGUUCUCCUCUUUUAAAACCCUUAUAAAUGUGUUAUAAUGUGUGGUGUAUUCUUAGGGAUGGCCCUAGGAUUGUAAAAUACCUUCAGAGAUUUGUUUUUAAGUUAGAAUAGGAAACCAAAAAUUUUUCGCCGCGAUUGGCUUGGGCAGUUACCCAAGCAAAACCGAGGUAGUUGUCCAGUUCAAAGCUUUCUUCUCUGUAGUUAUUUCUUAACGUUGGGCAAUCACUCACUCUAAACAAUGGGGCUGUUGCUCAGUUAUAAAAACUCCUGAAUAUUGCAUUUUAACCCCUGAAUUCGAUUUUUAAUUCUUUCAAGUCCUUUCUCUAGCAUUUUUAACCCUUUGACUUUUAAUCGCAUCUAAUUGAACCUGCAAUACCUUUAAUAAUCAUUUUGUGGUCCAAAUCAAUUAUUGAAAUGCUGUAAUUUAGUCAUUUACUUUGGAUUUCCCCCUUUUUCUUUUCUUUUCUCUUGAAUUCUGCCAUAUCCAUCAAUAUAAUUCAAUAUACAAAAUUAAGCCAAAAUCCAAAUGCUUUGAUCAACAAUUAGUCACGUUUUAUGGACCAAAUAAGUGUGUAAAACGUAUUUAUCACUCUUUAUGUGACAAUUUCAAGACAUCAUUGUCCCUAAUAAUUCUCAUCUCAAGUCUUUUAUUGAAAACUCCUUAGAUAACUCAUUUUUCAACUUAUUUAUUUCUUGCUUGCAAGCAUAUGUAAUUAACAUGUCAUCAACAUAUAGUCGCAGCAAUAUAAUAUAUAAGAGUUACCAGGUUUCUUUACAUAACAACAGUGAUCCCCUUGACACCUGCUAAUGCUAUUACUCAUAAAACUAUCAAACUUCUUCUACCAAUACCUUCUUUAUGUUGAAAUCCAUUUACCACCGAUCUUGCUUUAUACCACUUACUUCCAUUAUGUUUUUCUUUUAACCGGUAAAUCCAUUUAUUCUAGAAAGCUUUCUUUUAUUUUGGUAACUCUGUUAAUUACAAUGUCCUCAUGGCUAACACCCACUUGAUUGAUUCAUCAACAAGAAAAGCUUCAUUAUAAAUCUAUGGUUCACCUCUAUCAGUUUGUAAAGGUCUAUUAGUUUUGUUGGAUCUUCUAGAUAAAGUCAUAGGGAUGUCUUGAUAUACUUCUAAAAUUAUAUUUUCAUAAUUUUCUCCAUCAACAUUCUCUAACUCAAUUACUGAACAUUUUUUAAUGGGAUCAUCUUAAAUUUAUAAACUUCAAGACUUGAAUUUUUAAGAUCUGUUCUCAACAUGUCCUUAUACAAAUUACUUUUUGAUGUGAUCCAUGGCAUGAAGGGAAGUUCGAGUAAGGAUUCAUUAAUCAUUGAAGAAGGACCUAUGACUAGGUCACGAGCAAAGACGGUUAAAGAAGCGAUGGGACUACUUGUUCAAGCCACGGUGAAUGAAACAUUGAUCAUAGAUGGCAAGCAAAUCAAAAAGUUUCAUGUUGGGCACGAAGGAAAACACGAAGUGGAUCAACUUGAUUCGAGCUAUGGAUAGAGAAACCGACCAACUAAACUAUGUAACUUGCAUAGUUAAAGGGGCAUGAGACCGCAUUCCAAUGUGUAGCAAAGUCAACUUGACAAAUUAAUAAUUCUUUGCUAUCACAUUGGUUAGUACCAUGCAGCUGCAUAGUAUAAUUCUAUGACACGAUUUCUUCAAAUUCGCGUAAUCUCAUAUUUAUGUUAAAACUCUAUUUUUAUGGUAUAUUUUGUAGCCUUUAGACUUUAUUUCCACGUCAACUAGGCUUUAUUGAGUUCCCUAGAAAUAGGAAUCAUGUUUUCAUUGUAAAGACAAUUAACUUUUGAGAGAUAUUAUUGAGAG